AUAACAGCCGAAUGCCCGUAUCGGGCAGCGGGAGAACCAAUUUAUGGGGUGCAGCCUUUUCAGGCGGGGUAUCUUCUUGCCCUAACCCGUCAGCUUAUCUCGCAGGCGUAAGAAGA
rnacentral:sRNA from 1 species